rnacentral:rRNA from 1 species
UGGGGAAUAUUGCACAAUGGGCGCAAGCCUGAUGCAGCCAUGCCGCGUGUGUGAAGAAGGCCUUCGGGUUGUAAAGCACUUUCAGCGAGGAGGAAGGGUGGUGUGUUAAUAGCACAUUGCAUUGACGUUACUCGCAGAAGAAGCACCGGCUAACUCCGUGCCAGCAGCCGCGGUAAUACGGAGGGUGCAAGCGUUAAUCGGAAUUACUGGGCGUAAAGCGCACGCAGGCGGUUUGUUAAGACAGAUGUGAAAUCCCCGCGCUUAACGUGGGAACUGCAUUUGAAACUGGCAAGCUAGAGUCUUGUAGAGGGGGGUAGAAUUCCAGGUGUAGCGGUGAAAUGCGUAGAGAUCUGGAGGAAUACCGGUGGCGAAGGCGGCCCCCUGGACAAAGACUGACGCUCAGGUGCGAAAGCGUGGGGAGCAAACA